rnacentral:lncRNA from 1 species
CCCUUAGCUGCCGAGGUUGGUGUCUUAGUAGGUCAUGUGCCCCCCAAAUCCAAUGGCUUUGAGUCCAGCUCAGCACCAGGACUUGCCUAGGAGUUGCAGUCCUCAUGACCUAGACUGCCUUUCAACUUUAUUUAGGACCCCAGAGCACUUUAGCCAACAGUGGUGUGGCUUGCCAAACCUCACAUUCCGACUGUUGGGGAGACUCUGUCUCAAAAUAAAUAAAUAAAUAAAUACAAUAAAAUACAGUAAAAAAUUUUCACUGAUCAUGGAGCCACAAAGAUGUCUGAGA